CCCCUCCUCCCUGCUCCCAAUGUCCCCGCUGCUGCCACCUCCUCCCCGUACCCGCCCCCUCCCGAUCCAGUCCUCUCCCCCACCCACCGCCGACCUCAUCGUCCUCCUCAGCCACCACCACCGACCUCGUCCCUCCCUCCCCUCUCCGCAUCUCCCGACCACCUCUACGCCCGAGGAGAUCGAGCGAGCGCCCGAGUGCGCCCGUCCUCGCAGCCUCCUCCCACGAUUCCCCGCGCCCGAGCCCCACGAGAGGAGCUCCUCCUGUGUUUUUGCACGCCGCCGCCGGCGACCACCAGCCACAUCUUGCCAGAGCCAGUAGAUGAGUGCCACCCUUCUUCUCCGUUCUCUUCUUCCCGUGCUCUCUUUCUUCCUCCUUUCUCUCUCUCACACAUCUCGAUUUCUCUCUCUGUCUCAAACAGUGCACUUCGUCGCCAAGGACGCUCGCGUCCCCGACCUUGCAGCGCGCCGCCCCGAUGCGAAGUCCCUCCUUGUCGUUCCUGCGCCGCGGAGCCGAAACCUCGCCCAAGUCCAAGCGCCGCCGACGUUUGCCUCCUCGCCAUGGCCUCCCCUGCUUCGUCUGCUUCGCGGACAGAGCUCCGUCUCCGUCAACGUGUCCUCUCACCGUCUCUGUUCGCUGUCGGGCUCAGUCGACUCCAGCAGCACCCCCACGGUGUCGCUCCGCUCGGCACCCGAGCGUCUCUCCAGCUUGCAGUAGUAGCUCUCUUCUCAAGUGCGCCCACCAGCCAGGCCGUUCGUCUCCAGCUCUCUGCUCUGGCUCUGUAUUGCGUUGUUCAUUCAAUCAGGGAUCUAUUCCAAGGUCUUGGGUCCGCCCUCUCCAUGGAGAAAGGGGAUAUCUAUUCAUUUUGCUAUUGCAAGUUUGGAGAAACAAGUUUCAAAAAUUGAUUUCUCCACCUGCUGCUUCCAUUCUUAUUAAUCAGUGUGCCAAUAAUGGCAUCUGUUUUGAGGCGACUCCAUCCUGUUCGUGAUAGUAAUUUGUUUAAAACCGCAAGGCAGCUUUGCUUUCUGCAGUAUCUCCUGCCUUGUUUUGUUCAGUCGACAGAGGCUUGAGGCAGAGCAAAGGCUUGCCGAUUAUUGCUUACAACGCCAAGUUGCAAUUACCUGAUUCUGAACAUGCAAGCAAAUAUGCAGGAGUAAACAAGUUCUUGCAGUAGAUAUUGUAAGUGUUUGUUCUGAACAUGUACUAUCACCGAAGAUAUUGCAAGUGGUCUGACAAGAUUUUCUCAAUUUGCAAGUUUAGUUACUUUUCCAGUUAAUUAACUGGACAUCUUGGAGUAGUUAGAAAAUCAUGAAUUAUUUGCAGAAAUUCGUAGAAGUAUUGUACUCCAGUGUGCAUUACUUACAUAAACUUGCUUGCAAGCUUAUUUUCUGACUUUCAUAUUCUGAAACUGAAAAAGCUUAGUUAAAUUCUAUUAAGUUUCAGUAAUAUUCAGUGGAGUGGAUUGUUUACUGUAAAUUUUGAACAUCACAGUAAUUUCCCUGGCUGUUAACUGCUGUAGCAUUAGGAGUAGUUUUACUGCAGUACUGCUUGAACUACUCCAAGCAUUAGGAGUACUGUAAAGUGAGUAAAUGGAGGGCGAGGAAUUUUUACUGCAAUGUAGGAUUGCACAGGGAGUUGUUAGUAGUACAUGUUGAUGAUCAUAGUCAGGAGAUGGAGGGUGAGACACAGCCAUGGAGAGGAGCAGCAGCUCAAGGUCCUUUCUCCUCCACGCCACCUCUGCCCCUCUCUCGUUUUGAUUUGCUAUGUUGGGUUCCAAGAUUAGAAAUAUUUUUUGUUUCCAUCUUUAUCCAUGUGCUAUCAUUAACUCUGAGAAAAUGUUAUGUUUUUGCUGAUUAGUGGCAGUACAUCUUUGCUUUACUAUUCCUAGCAGCUGCAGUUCAUCUACCAUAAACAUGUUGUGUACAUUCUGAACCCCCAAACAUGACACAAGUGAUAUGUAUAUGCAGCAGGGAAUCGUCAACUUGUACAGUUUGUUUACUGGAUGUAACUUGUACAAUUUUUACUUGAAUAUGUUCAGUUAUGAAGUCGUGUAGUUGUUUUUUCUCAUCAGUUCUAAAUUGCAGUACUUUACUGAAUUGUUGAUGAUGCUUAAUGAAUCUAGCUUGUUGGGUUCAGUCUCUUGUUUAGAUGGAAUAGCACCCCAUCACCUGUUGUUGUUGUUAUUCACCCUAUCCUUGUUGUUCUGUUUUCUUGUUGGCAGAUAUUUUGAGUAAAUUCAAGACGAAAGAUGUUCAAAGAAGUUCCAAGACAUUCUUAUAUAGCAAGUUAUGUAAUAAUAGUUGGGUUAUCUGGGAAUUUAAUGUAUCUUCUCUCUAUUUGUGAAUGAAAUAGUAAUUAUGUAUGUGAAUUAAUGUAUCUUCUCUCUGUUUGUGAA